UGUUACACUUUAUAUAAAUUAUGAUAUUACCUGGGUAUUAAACAGUUAUUGUCUUGAAACUCAAAGGAUUUGGCGGUAAUUUAGUCUAUUUAGAGGAACCUGUCCUGUAAUCGAUAGUCCACGAAAAAUCUUACUUUAUCUUGUAGAAAACAGUUUGUAUACCGUCAUUAUUAGAUAACUUUAAUAAAAUGUAAAGUUAUUGAAAGAGCAUAGCUAAUAUAUUAGAUCAAGGUGCAGCUUAUGGUAAAGGAAGAGAUGGGUUACAAUAUAUUAAAUAUAAACGGAAUAAUAAUUGAAUAUUUAUUAUUGAAGGUGGAUUUAAAAGUAAGAAGAUUUUAAUAAGAUCUUUUGACCCUAGCCCUAGAUUAU
rnacentral:rRNA from 1 species